GUGGCAGACAGCAACUUUUAUUUUCCCCAGCCACCAUAGCCCCACUCAAUAUGACAUUUAGACAGAUGAGCCAGCAAUACAGUAGUUACAUGUGUCUGGGAUUUGUUUUUUAAAUUAUAUGUACCGCUUUUAAUAGCCUGAUUACAGCUGUUCAGUAAGUGAUGCCUCUAGACUGAAGAGGACCGAAAUGAGAAGCAGGCCAGCUAAGAGGGCUGGGAGCAGCACGUUCCCCUUGUUAUUGCCAGCUAGUGGGGAGAGAACAUAUGGCCACUUUACAAAGACUAUUGUGACCAUGAAAUUUGGAAGCCAAGCAUAGGAUACCAGGAGAGGUUGGAUAGAAGCAAGAUUUAUCAGAAUUAGCCUUGGAAUCUCUGACUCAAGUAUGGACUAUCAUCAGCCAUUAGCACCAGACAAAAUGCAGCCACUGACAAUCUUCUGGGAUGCCGCUAAGUAUACUUGACCUAACAACUACCAGUAAAACUUUCUGACAUGUGCUUUGAUUCUAGAUUAUCAACUAAGAAUUCAGGGAAACAUUCUACUAAAUAACAUGUCCUAUGUAAGUGAGAUAAUUAUAACAGCCUCCUCACUAGGUUAUGGGCCCCCAAAUUUGUACUUUUCAGAUCUUUCUUCUACGUUGCAGUCAGACACAGAUUUGAUCACGCCACACCAUUGCUCAGAAUUCUUUGGAUGCAACUUACUGCCUAUAGGAUGAAGACCACACUCAGGCAUUUCCUUGAAUGCUGACACAAUCCUACCCCAACCUACCUCACGAUCUUCCUACUGCAUGCAUGCUCCCUUCAGAUCUAAUUGGCUUUUUUUCACUAAUGCCUGCACUUGACCUAAGUGAAGAUUCUGAAGCAGGAGAGAAACUGGUUUUCUAGGCCUAUCUUGAGUCUCUUUUAUCAUUGACCAUCUUUCGCUACCACAAAAGAAUCAUAUUCUAUUGCACAAGACCUAGUGGGCCUCAUUUAAGAUUUUGAACAUUAUUCCAACAAAAUUCCUAAAAUUUUAAGUUUGUACUUAUAUCAUAAAGCUAGACCUUGCAUUUAAAACUCACCUUUAGAAAACUUGCUUUAAAAAAACAAAAACAAGUAAUUUUGAUGAAUUUGGAAAUUCUGUGACUUAAUCUUAUCUGUUAUCUGAGUAAGAGUUUAAGCAACAGUGACACUGGAAAAUAAAAUGAUAUUUAUGUAUAAAACAAUGAUAAUACUAUAGAAUGUCAUCUUUCAGGGUAACAUUUGUUGAGUUACAGAACUGAUUCAUUGAUUGCACUAAAGUUAUACCAUUGAAUAACUUGCAUGGAGGGAAACCAGAAUUAUAACCACGGGUAAAAAUUGAUAUAUUAGAGGUGAAUUUUGGAAGAAAUAAAAAUGUAGAAGGCAAUUAUAAGGGGAGCACUUAAAUUAGGUAUGAAUGGUUUAUGCUAUUGAUUAAAGCAUUUUAAAAAUCAAUAAAAGAACACUUUGUACCAAGUAGCUUUCAGGAACUUUCAGGGAAGACCAUUUGAUUCAGUUCAAAAGUCAGAAGCCUCUGCCCUAACAGGUAAAAAGCGUGGUUCCAUCUCCUUUUUAAAAAUAAAGCAAAUAACUACAAUUUAGAGUCUAAAAUCAAGCAUUAAUGAUCUGCUCCAGUCAUUUUUUAAAGAAGCAAGCUAUAUUAAAAAUUUUGAUACUUAAUGUGAAAAUUAUAUUUUUAUUUAUAUUUUACUACAUGCUGUUAUCUUCUAAUAACAAUUCAUGCCUAAUUUAUGUGCUCCCCUUCUAACUGCUUUCUAUUUUUUUGCUUCUUCCAAAAUUCAUCCCUAAUGUAUCCAUUUUUACCUGUGGUUGUAAUUCUGAUGUCCCUUCUUGCAAGCUAUUGAACAGUAUAAAUUUUAUUAUCAUUUUUAAAAUUUUUUUAUGCGUUGAUAUUAAAUGUUUAUAUUUGUAAAGUACAUGAGAUGUUUUGAUACAGCAUGCCAUGUGAAAUAAACACAUCAUGGAGAAUGGGGUAUCCAUCCCCUCAAGCAUUUAUCAACAGUCUAACUGUCAUGCAGUUAUAAACUUCUUAGGAGAAGGAUCUCUUGUGUUAUAUAAAUUAUAAAAUUUAAUGCCAUAUCCUUGUACAAGGUAGGCUAACAAUGCCUACUUUGAAUUGUACUAUAUUCAUUCAAGAAGCUUUUUAAAUCUCAGGCUUUCUGACUCUUUGUUCUGCAUUUCUCCCCUUUCAACUAAAGAAUAUAUUUUAUAGGUGAGCUACAGGUGGUUGUAUGUAUGCAUCUGUCAGUCUUAUUCCUAGGAACCCAUUCGUGAUAGCUCUGCCACAUCCAUUUGACAAUAAACGACUCAAGUUCAAGAACGCUAACUGCUUUCUUGUCAACUUCUCUGAAAGUAUGUUUAAAACACAUUUUCCUGACUCAUACAUUUAGCUUAGCCAGGUCACCACCAGGCCCGGCCUUGAAAGCAGCAGAUGUUGACGGGUUAAUAAAAAAAAGAGUAUCAUGAGAAGUGGUGACCAAAGCCCUCUGCUCAAAAUCUAUCCUAAAAACUAUGGCUGACAUACUUGUGAAGUAUAUUAAAUGAGAACCUUUCUUGCUAUCUAAUUUGGGCUGAAAUUCCAGAGCCAAGAACUCUAAGUACCCUCACAUUCUAAAAUGAGUUGCAGAGUCCUUGCAGGCAUUCACAGAAGGAGACUCCAAACAGCCUUGGUGACUCCUAGGUAUCACCUACCCUAGGAAAAACCUACACUGCCAGAGUUUGGUGCAGCAGGACAAUGGGUGGUUCCUUUGGAAAGGGUGACCUCAAAGAAGACUUUGGUUCUCUUGGACUUUGCAUGAAAGUAACAGCCACAGGACAAUGUGAAUCCAACAAAUAACAUCUGUGGAAGUGGACUUCCAGAAUUCAGGCAUCAAGUCAUAAGCAACUGGCCAAAAGAGGCAGCACCUAUGUUGGAAAAAGUCAGUGAGAAGUCUCAGGAAAUGUGUAACAGUGUGUGCAUGUGUGUGUGAGUCUCCAAAAACUUCCCCAAAGAUUCAGGGAAGAAGGCAAUGAUUUGAAUAUUCAAUAAAACCCAAAGGUCACUUCUGUCUCAUAAAUCUCUCUCUGAACCUGUUUCCAACUUUGGAGAAGCCAGUGGCCCAGGAUGUUGGAAAAAAAAAAGUGUGGAAAAGUGAGUGGGGACAUUGGUAAAAGUUGAACUGUGUCUUCCCUAAGAUAGGGAAGCAAAGAAAUCAGAAAUGUUCAUUCGAAUGAGAGUUUGGGUGUGGAAUAUUAAACAGAACUACUCUUUCUAUUAACUAAAAUAUGUUACUGUUUAUUCAUACCUGAGAGUGACUGGAAAAGCUAGAGGACCUGCAAGAGAUAACUCAUGGGUAGAGAAAAAUGAACAAGCAGCUCCAAAUGAUAUUGAAAAAAGAAAUAAAGCACUUUUGGAAUUUUGUCUCUAAUACACCAGUUUGUUCCAUAAAUUUGUUGUAUUUAUUUCUUAGUUUUGUCUAAUGCUUGGAAGGCACUGUUAAAAAAAAAUUAUCUAUGCUGAGCCAUCAUACCUGAACUAUCAGAACUCCUUCAGUUGCAAAACAAAACAAAAAACAACUCAAACUAGAUUUAAAAAUAGACAAAUGUCUUGGUCCACAUAACUUAUAUGGCUUCGUGCACAAUUGAAUCCAGUGGCUAAAGUAAACCAUUAGGAUUUUCUUACUCUGUUUGUCAUCUCUGUUGGCUCUCUUUAUGUCUCCUACAGAUGCUUUCCUCUCUGUGAUUUUGCAUCUGUUAUUCCUCAGCAACAAAUAUAAACUAUUAGAGAACUUUCUUGGAUCAUGUGCCUAUCACUAAUGCAAUCACUGGAAACAAGAGAAGGGGGUCUCUGAUUGGCCACCUGGUCCUAUGCCCACCUCUAUGAUGAUGGUGGCACUGGUGGCACCAUGACUGAUGUUCUCACCAAACCCACAUGGAGUUGUGGAAAAGUGGAUGGCUGGAACUCAAAAGAAAAGUGAAUUGCUGUAACCAGAGAGGAAGGUAGGCAAAAACAACAGAUAUUCCCUACAAUUACCUAAGCUUGUUGUACAUUACAGUGCAUAGCUAGCCAGCUGGGAGUCUAGGAUUAAGCUUGGAUUUCUGCCCUCAAUGAGUAAAAAUAUCUGGGUAGAAAACAGAAGAUUGCAGCAAAAUUUCCCAGAUUAUGUUCUAUGAUGUUUUAAGAAUAGAUUCACAAUUUCUUUUACACUCUUCCCUUCCAACAGAGGACCAUUAUUCUGUCCUCUUGAGGGUGGGCUGGACCUCAUGACUCACUUUUGAUAAACAGAAUGUUGUCAGCAUGAUACUAUUUGACUUCUGAGGCUAAGUCAUUAAAAAAAGGAUAGUUUCUGCUUGUCUCUCUCCUAUCACUUGCUUUGAGAGAAGCCGGUUAUCAUGUCAUGACGACUCAAGCAUCUUGUGGCCAGAUCCACAUGUAAAUCUUUCUAAACUGAAAUCUUUUGCCAAAAGUCAGCAUCAACUUGCCAGUUACCUUGGAAGUCACCUUGGAAGCUGCUCCUCCUGCCCCAAUCGAGGUUUCAGAUGACUACAGUCAUGGUGAGCAUCAUGGCUGAACCUUAUGAGAGAGCCCAUGCUAAAAUUAUCCAGUAAAACUGCUUCUAAAUUCUUGAUCCAUAGAAACUGUAAGAAUAGUAAAUACUGAUUGUCAUUUUAAAUCACUACGUUUUAGGGUCAUCUGUUGUGCAGUAAUAGUUAAAUAAUACAUGGGUAUCCCCCAAGAUGAUAACAGAUGCUCUAUGAAACAAGUCAGGUAAGUGUGGUUAAGCAUGUUUUAGCAGCUAUCUUUAUCAUGGGACUUCUCAGAACCUUAAAAGGUAAUAUAAUUGUCAGUUUCCAGAGGGAGAGAAAGAGAGAGACACAGAGAAAGAGAGACAGAUGUAAUAUGCAAUUUCUUAAACUUCUUUGACAAAAAAAUGCCUUUAUUUUUCAUGGAAAACCUAUUAAUAUCUCUGAAAUUCUAGUGUUUCUAGGACAUUUGAAAAACUCUAGACUAGAUACAUGUACUGGAGAAGAUUACCCGGGACAUUUUUGCUUCUUAAAGAGCAACAUCAUAUCUUAGGUAAAAAUCCGAAUAACAGAUUAACAGGUCCAGGAUUAGGAUGACACAAGUGAGGUACUCAUCUCAGUAACCACAUUUAAAGAAAUGACAAAAAGCUCAGUAGUCAAAAUAAAAAUACUGUAUUGCAACAUUUUUUUAAAACCAAAAUUUAUGUAUGAAAAUCCAUGAUGAACAAAAUAUCAAAAUUUUAAAUAAAGGCUAAUUUAAAAUCAGUCAAAUGUUAUUUCAUUGGUUUGUCUUAUGAUCCUGCAUUAGUAUGCAAUGAAAACAGUUAUUUCUGAUCAGUCCUGAUUCCUUGUCCACAUCGUGAUCACAUUCCCCUCCAGUCAGGUUAAUUUAACAAUAGUGUGCAAAGAGAUUGGCAAUACAGUGUUUUACAUAUAUUCACUUUUAGAAAUGUAGUUUCUAUUAACUUUUGCACUUGGUUCAAGUUAUGAAAAAAAUAUUUUGGUAAGUGGAUAGAAGCGCGUAGUUUCCCUUUUGCUUAGGUUCCAACAGGGCUCAGAAGGGCAUCGUAGGCCAGUAACCUUUCCAGUCAAGGUACAUUAUAUGAUAUAGGUAUCUUGUAUUCUGUGGGAGUAGGAGUAGGAGUUUUCAGGUUUUCUCGUAAAGUUGACACCACAGAUGGGCUUUUAUUUCUGAAGUUUCUUAAGCAGGAUCCAUGACAUCAUCCUGAAGCUUUGAGUGAAUGUAACACAGGGCAGAGAGUUCUGAUGAAAAAGAAAUAUCUAGAACCCAUAAGGAGAUCAAGCCUGAUCAGCAGCACCAUAGACACGCAAAAGCAUCUUGCACAGCACUGUGGAUUAAAUUUUAUGGUCUUCCAUGCAAAUUCAUUGCACAACAAAAAUAGUUUCUCAUUUGUCUGUUUGUUAAUUCACAAAUGAAAAAUUACCACACAGACAUUUUUAACAUUGAAAUGAUGCCUUUUUUGUCUUUUUCUUUCUUUCUUCAAUCUCCUUUG
rnacentral:lncRNA from 1 species